rnacentral:rRNA from 1 species
UUGUUCGGAUUUACUGGGCGUAAAGGGCGCGUAGGCGGUCAGCACAAGUCAGUUGUGAAAUCUCCGGGCUUAACUCGGAAAGGUCAACUGAUACUGUGCGACUAGAGUGCAGAAGGGGCAACUGGAAUUCUCGGUGUAGCGGUGAAAUGCGUAGAUAUCGGGAGGAACACCAGUGGCGAAAGCGGCUACCUGGCCCAUUCUUGACGCUGAGGCGCGAAAGCUAGGGGAGCAAACGGG